AUAGGUACAGUAUGAGUACGACCUACACCUGUCAACAUAGUNGAACGAAAUCUGUAGACUMGAAUGGUUUGCACUCUAAAUUUUCCCAUCAGUCCUAUUGAAACUGUACCAGU
rfam:HIV-1 isolate SG1 from Italy, partial genome.